UACGUAGGGGGCAAGCGUUGUCCGGAUUUAUUGGGCGUAAAGAGCGUGUAGGCGGCUAGAUAGGUCCGUUGUGAAAACUCGAGGCUCAACCUCGAGACGUCGAUGGAAACCAUCUGGCUAGAGUCCGGAAGAGGAGAGUGGAAUUCCUGGUGUAGCGGUGAAAUGCGCAGAUAUCAGGAAGAACACCAAUGGCGAAGGCAGCUCGCUGGGACGGUACUGACGCUGAGACGCGAAAGCGUGGGGAGCAAACAGG
rnacentral:rRNA from 1 species